AGCCCCGUCGUGCCCGGA
rnacentral:snRNA from 1 species